UCGCUUCAGAAGCAUUCCGCAAACUCGACAAAGGAGAAGAUGUUGGCUAUAUUCCACAAAACGGUCGCCCACCCUCCUCAGGAGCUCGGCUGCUCCGAGUCCACCUCCACUGUCCCUCCCAUGCCCGGCUACAGCCGGCGGCAACCCAAGAACCCCGACGAGAUCCUCAGGGACUUCCACUCCGCCCACCCCGCCCACGCCUUCUGUGCCACCUUCAGCGGCGGCGCCGCCCUCGCCUGCCUCGGCCCCCGCGCCCCGCCUCCCUCCCUCCUCCACCGGAGGUGCGCACUUCUCUCAAUUC
rnacentral:lncRNA from 1 species